UCUAUGUCUAAAUUCUAAAUCAAAAUACAUAUUUGAUAUGACUUAAUAUAUAAUUAGCAUAAAACAAACAAUAUAAUUCACAUUCUUCUCAGGGAUUAAAGAUUAAAUGGAAAAAAAUAAAAAAUGAUUGCACAGCCAUCAAUUAGGCGGCGAUAUGCACUAAGCAUGUAAACAACUAAUGAACAAAAGAAGAAGAAAGAAACAGCUUGGCGUGCUUUUUCUUAGCGUCCGUUUCCAUAGUGACUCGUCGAUUCGUCGCUCUGUUGAGAAUGUCUUGAGUCUUAACCAGGAACAUACUCUGAGUUGAAUGAACUUACUCCCGGACACAUUUUUGGAACCACAUACCUCAAGUAAGCAAGGUUUGGGGUUAAUCAACCGAGAGUUCAGGGUUUAGUUCACGGUAAGUUAACCCUGCUUUCUGGAAUACACCCCAGGCUGCGAUGUCAAGGAAGCAAAAAUGUUGUGUGCGAUCGACAGUGCGAUCACUGCAUUGUUUUCCCAAACAUUAUUCGUAAUUUAGUCAGAUACAAACGCUGGUUGAUCAUACAAGCAAGACAUCAUUCAUCACUGUAAAGCCAUGGCAAAAUAAUAAUAAUGGUAAUAAUAAUAAAGAAAGAAAACUGUAAACUUUUGCAAUAUAGAGAAUGGCUUUCCGCCUCAUACUGAACGUUAGAUCGCGUCACAAUGAAUAGAAACUGAGCACAAUUUUUUUCCUUUCGUUUCGUUAAUCUGUUAAUGAUUUAAGUGAAAUAUGUUGUACAAGAAAGAAGACUCCCCAGUUUAGCUCUCAGUAUUAGGAUUCCUCACGCUUGCAACAUUGACAGUAAGCUGCAGUCAAAGACUUGGCGCACCAAAAUGCUCACAGAGGAUUAAGUAGAGUUUUUGCUUGACUGUGGUUGUCAGUUACUAAAAAGAAUAAAUAAGUUAAUUGCAAAAGUUGGUAAAUGUAUAGAAAGUUAAUUUUUCUCAAUAUGUAGCACAUAUAUAUAUUCCUAGGUUUUUUUUUGUUUUUUUUUUACUGUUCAUAUACAGAAAGACAUGAAUUUAGCGUGUAUAGUUUUUUAAACAGUUAGUGAGUCUUAUGAAGAACAGUGUUUGAACUGAAACAUGUUGGCCAUUAGCCUCUUGACUUGAAGAGAUAGUUACAUGCAGGAAAAUCACGAGCAUACAUUGUGAUACUCUUCAAACCGGAGGCAGGGUGACAUGGAGGAGAAGAAUUGUUGAAUGAAGUUAUUUUUGUUUUCUCUGCGCAAAAGAAAAGUAUUCUCGUAGCUUUGUAAGGUUAUGGUUGAACCACUGAUGUCACAUGGACUGUUUAAAGAUGUCCUUACUGUGUUUCUUGCCUUGAUUGUGGUAAUUACAUUGCUGUCUAAGGAGGGACAGAAAGCUCUCGGAUUUCUUCAAAAAUAUAUUUAUUUGCAUUUCGAAGAUGAACGAAGGUCUUAUGGGUUUGGAACGACAUGAUGGUGAACAAUUAAUGAC
ensembl:lncRNA